UACGUAGGUGGCGAGCGUUAUCCGGAAUUAUUGGGCGUAAAGGGUGCGUAGGUGGUCUUUUAAGUGAGAUGUGAAAUCCCGGGGCUUGACCCCGGAACUGCAUUUCAAACUGGGAGACUAGAGUGCAGGAGAGGAAAGUGGAAUUCCUAGUGUAGCGGUGAAAUGCGUAGAGAUUAGGAGGAACACCAGUGGCGAAGGCGACUUUCUGGACUGUAACUGACACUGAGGCACGAAAGCGUGGGGAGCAAACAGGAUUAGAAACCCGAGUAGU
rnacentral:rRNA from 1 species